GAGAUAAUGUUUGAGCUACGAAGACAGUAGGUGCUCUCCGCCAGCUGGCGGAAUAAAGCUUAAUUUCCUACCGAGGGCAGAAUCAAAAAUUUGCCUUUUGUAGCGGCGAUUUUUAAAUUACGAA
rfam:Berkelbacteria bacterium GW2011_GWA2_46_7 TX60_C0020, whole genome shotgun sequence.